GAUGAAGAACGUAGCGAAAUGCGAUAAGUAGUGUGAAUUGCAGAAUUCAGUGAAUCAUCGAAUCUUUGAACGCACAUUGCGCCCUUUGGUAUUCCAAAGGGCAUGCCUGUUCGAGCGUCAUUUGUACCCUCAAGCUUUGCUUGGUGUUGGGCGUCUUGUCUCCAGUUCGCUGGAGACUCGCCUUAAAGUAAUUGGCAGCCGGCCUACUGGUUUCGGAGCGCAGCACAAGUCGCGCUCUCUUCCAGCCAAGGUCAGCAUCCACAAAGCCUUUUUUCAACUUUUGACCUCGGAUCAGGUAGGGAUACCCGCUGAACUUAAGCAUAUCAAUAAGCGAGGA
rnacentral:misc_RNA from 1 species